GACGAACGCUGGCGGCGUGCUUAACACGUGCAAGUCGAACGGAAAGGCCCUGCUUUUGUGGGGUGCUCGAGUGGCGAACGGGUGAGUAACACGUGAGUAACCUGCCCUUGACUUUGGGAUAACUUCAGGAAACUGGGGCUAAUACCGGAUAGGAGCUCCUGCUGCAUGGUGGGGGUUGGAAAGUUUCGGCGGUUGGGGAUGGACUCGCGGCUUAUCAGCUUGUUGGUGGGGUAGUGGCUUACCAAGGCUUUGACGGGUAGCCGGCCUGAGAGGGUGACCGGCCACAUUGGGACUGAGAUACGGCCCAGACUCCUACGGGAGGCAGCAGUGGGGAAUAUUGCACAAUGGGCGGAAGCCUGAUGCAGCAACGCCGCGUGCGGGAUGACGGCCUUCGGGUUGUAAACCGCUUUCGCCUGUGACGAAGCGUGAGUGACGGUAAUGGGUAAAGAAGCACCGGCUAACUACGUGCCAGCAGCCGCGGUGAUACGUAGGGUGCGAGCGUUGUCCGGAUUUAUUGGGCGUAAAGGGCUCGUAGGUGGUUGAUCGCGUCGGAAGUGUAAUCUUGGGGCUUAACCCUGAGCGUGCUUUCGAUACGGGUUGACUUGAGGAAGGUAGGGGAGAAUGGAAUUCCUGGUGGAGCGGUGGAAUGCGCAGAUAUCAGGAGGAACACCAGUGGCGAAGGCGGUUCUCUGGGCCUUUCCUGACGCUGAGGAGCGAAAGCGUGGGGAGCGAACAGGCUUAGAUACCCUGGUAGUCCACGCUGUAAACGGUGGGUACUAGGUGUGGGGUCCAUUCCACGGGUUCCGUGCCGUAGCUAACGCUUUAAGUACCCCGCCUGGGGAGUACGGCCGCAAGGCUAAAACUCAAAGGAAUUGACGGGGCCCCGCACAAGCGGCGGAGCAUGCGGAUUAAUUCGAUGCAACGCGUAGAACCUUACCUGGGUUUGACAUGGAUCGGGAGUGCUCAGAGAUGGGUGUGCCUCUUUUGGGGUCGGUUCACAGGUGGUGCAUGCCAGUCGUCAGCUCGUGUCGUGAGAUGUUGGGUUAAGUCCCGCAACGAGCGCAACCCUUGUUCACUGUUGCCAGCACGUUAUGGUGGGGACUCAGUGGAGACCGCCGGGGUCAACUCGGAGGAAGGUGGGGAUGACGUCAAGUCCUCAUGCCCCUUAUGUCCAGGGCUUCACGCAUGCUACAAUGGCUGGUUCAGAGAGUGGCGAGCCUGUGAGGGUGAGCGAAUCUCGGAAAGCCGGUCUCAGUUCGGAUUGGGGUCUGCAACUCGACCUCAUGAAGUCGGAGUCGCUAGUAAUCGCAGAUCAGCAACGCUGCGGUGAAUACGUUCCCGGGGCC
rnacentral:rRNA from 1 species